rnacentral:rRNA from 1 species
CAUGUAGGCUGCUUGUUAAGUCUGAUGUGAAAGCCCCGGGCUCAACCUGGGAAGUGCAUUGGAUACUGGCAAGCUUGAGUAUGGGAGAGGAAAGUGGAAUUCCGAGUGUAGGGGUGAAAUCCGUAGAUAUUCGGAGGAACACCAGUGGCGAAGGCGGCUUUCUGGACCAAUACUGACGCUGAUAUGCGAAAGCGCGGGGAGCAAACA